CAAGAUCCAGUCCUUAAAACAAAAGACUUUGACUCCUCCCUGGUGGUUUUGCCUCUCGGGUUAAAGUCCUGAUGGAGUUAAACAUACAGAAUUUAAAGCCGACAAUAACCUGGAUGUAUCUUUCCCACUAUGUGACCUGAGGCAAAGUAUCUGCCCACUAGAAUGAGCCUCUUCUAGGAAUAUUGCAAUACGACAAAGGCUUUAGUCGGGGAUAAAAGCAAGUUAACGGGAGUGUCCUCAACCACCUCUGGCCUUACUAAGGUCACAUCACAAAGGCCAAGCGCUGACCACGUUCCUGACAUUGGUGGAUCUUGUGUCUAAAGUGGCAAGUCCGAAGGAAGACUGCAGAAGGCCAGAGUCCAGACAAGGAGGCCAGCCGGGCAAAGAGGCUGAAUCAGAAGCCAACGAGACUCCCAAGACUUCCAGGCUGGAGCGGAAAGGAAGUGUUUUGCUGCUAGAGGCAAGGCAGGAAACAGAACAGACCUGUGUUAGGUGUGAGCCAGUGGAGGCCCUGGAGGAGCCGGGGAGGCGAGAGUAGGCUGCAGGCCUAUGGUGGGCCUCUGUGGAACCCGUGCUUCCUCUCUGCCCUACAGAGCAUGUGUGUCUCCCAGGACUGCGGUGCUGGAGGGCAUGGGGAGGGCCAGAAGGUCCUUUAUCCCGGUAACAACCAGACUUUGGUCUUCAGUGUUCCUUGGAAGCUGCUUGGAGGGUGGGUAUCUUGUU